rnacentral:rRNA from 1 species
GAUGAACGCUGGCGGCGUGCCUAAUACAUGCAAGUCGAGCGAACAGACGAGGAGCUUGCUCCUCUGACGUUAGCGGCGGACGGGUGAGUAACACGUGGAUAACCUACCUAUAAGACUGGGAUAACUUCGGGAAACCGGAGCUAAUACCGGAUAAUAUAUUGAACCGCAUGGUUCAAUAGUGAAAGACGGUUUUUGCUGUUACUUAUAGAUGGAUCCGCGCCGCAUUAGCUAGUUGGUAAGGUAACGGCUUACCAAGGCGACGAUGCGUAGCCGACCUGAGAGGGUGAUCGGCCACACUGGAACUGAGACACGGUCCAGACUCCUACGGGAGGCAGCAGUAGGGAAUCUUCCGCAAUGGGCGAAGGCCUGACGGAGCAACGCCGCGUGAGUGAUGAAGGUCUUCGGAUCGUAAAACUCUGUUAUUAGGGAAGAACAAAUGUGUAAGUAACUAUGCACGUCUUGACGGUACCUAAUCAGAAAGCCACGGCUAACUACGUG